GCCUGGGAACCUCCAUAUGGUGCAGCCCUAAAAAGACAAGAAACAAAAUAAAUAAAUAAAGUUCAGGCACUUUCAGCACAUGCUCUUGCUUAGAAUACAUCUCGUCCAGCCUCCCCACGAGAUAUCUCCUCAACAUCCCCCUACCAGGCCAUACAGCCUCAAUGUACAGGCCCCUUGCUCUCUGAGGUUCACUGAACAGCAGCUCUAAUGACCCUUGAAGACAUUGACCGUAUUGUUUCUAUUGAGACAAGAACUGCUUCCGGUUCUGGCUGUGCCCUCUGGAUCCACCGGAAGCAAUUCCCUCUGCUGUGAGCUUUGCUCUAAAGGAUUCAGGAUGGCUCCCCCCCACGGACAGUCUUCUCCAGGCUAAAUGUCCUAUUCUUUCAGCCACACCUCCAUACCCAGGCCCUCUCCUGGAGUCACCGCUAGGCCUUCUCUGGAAGAGCUUCAGCUGAUUUCUUCCCCAGGACCUUGAUCAGCCAUACGUGAUCCAGCCACACAGAGGAGACGAGAAAAGUAAAAGAUUCAGAUCGGUUUUCCAGUACUGGCACCUGAAAGCCCCAUAGCCCUGCUGCUGCAACAGGAUCAUCGCACUGUCUGAACCUGGUGGACCCCGAAGAAGAAACGACUUUAUUUUUCCUGGCUCCACGGCCUUUGGCAACACUGGCUUGAGUCUCCUGUUCCUGGCUCUUAAAUAACAGCUGGGGCCAAUCCCAGAGCUUUGGGUCACUCUUGGGUAUAAGGAAGUCCAGUCCGGUCUAGUCCAGGGUAAAACUUGAAUCUCCAAUCCAUUUUAAUGCUCGUAUUCUCCCUGUGCCCAGAACAGACCCUCCUGCAGCUGAAGGGACUUGCAAAGGGGAUAAGAGAUGUUCUUCUCCCCACCCCCACCUUCUAUUUCUGGCCCUUCCAGAGUCUCAGGCCGGGGGGGAGAGGACCUGAAAAGACCAUGGACGCCCUCUGUGGGGCCUGGCUCCAAGUGCUAGCUCUCCUGGCCCCAUGUGGGGUUGUCGGAAUACAUGCAGGAGCCUCCUCUCUGCCACAGAUGGGCAAGCCACAGUCCCCACAGGCUCUAGCCCUUGGGGUUCCCCCCCACCCACAGCCUCCUCUGGCCCCCCCAAGGCCUGCCUUCUGGGGUGGAAUAUUGUAAAAAUCCAAAGGUGGCCCAACCACCUGCCAGGGUCCACUCGGCUCCGAGGACCCUUACACACCCUGACCGUGCCAGGCGGUGGCCCUGCAGACAGCCCCCAGGGACCCCAACACCUCUCUCCAAUGCUCUUCACCCUGGUUCCAGAGGAUGGAGGAGCAAGUUCAUUUCCAGGCAGACAUCCAGCCCGGGAAGAUGAUUUCACCUCCGCGUCUUGUCGUUUCCACGAGGGAUUCCUGGGUGCCCGCUGCCCCCACCUGGCUAAGCCCGGGGAGGAGCGAACCACAGCCUUCUUCCCCCAGGCUGAAACCUCGCAGCUAAAGGGAUCCUCCCUCCUCUUCUCUGAUCUCCUGCUUAUGCAUCCAGGCCGGGAGGACUGAGGACCUCUCUUUGUGCUUGACUGUGAAUCUGCCACGUAGCAAAUGCCAAGGUAGGAGAAAAAGUCAAUCCCUGUUGUGUAUCUUUCAAACCAGGUCUUUCCUGUACUCUCGCGGAGCAAGCGCUUUCUCUUAAUGUCUGGGCCAGAUCUCACGGACUUAGCACUACUUGUUCUCAUCUGGCUGGUUCCAGGCUUCUGAUGGUGUUCUGGUCUAGAAGCCUGGUCCCACGAUGAAAUCCACUCCUGCUCGCUCCCAGCUCCACAUCACCCACAGAUUCGAUAAUUCAGCUUUCUGGGCUGUUAUUCAAGCCUUUGAUGAAAAGAUCAAAGACAACAGGACUGAAUAGAGGACCCUUAAUUCAGGGUGACAUUUAUUCCAGCCUGUCCUUGGUGAACUGCUACUGGCUCCAGCUACUUACCACUUCCUGUUAUCUGAGCUCUAAAACUGUCUGUCUAAUCAGGGCUCACAGGUGCCUGGGCUCCAGUCUACAGCUCCCUCGUCUCCCAGGAUGUCAGUGACCUGGGCUAGGGAUUUGGACUCGCUGAAAAUAGCAAGUGCUUCCUCGCCCAGCUCUGCCAACCCCCUUCCCCCACCACUGCAUCUAGGCAUCUUCAUUCAGCUCAGCUCUGCCCAGCCACACCCCGGCCCCAGCUCCCAAGCAAGCACCGCCUCGCUCAUCCCCUUCCAGGCUCAGCCUCGGCUCCUCUCUCAGGCAACUGGUCUGCCCCUGAGGGGAGGGGCAGGAAGACCGUCACUGAAGCACCCAGAUGACUCAGAUGACCCCAAGAGUUGAGAUCUGCUGACGUCCAGGACCCUUCGGUCGGCUGGGGCUGGGGUGGGUGGAGCAAAGCAUAUUUAUUAAGCAAGAGCCAGGAGCUGGGCUAGGUGUGUUAGCGCAAUUAUCUCUGUCUCCUGGGUGAGGAGCGGUGAGGGAGGUCACAGCACUGGCCUAACGUCCCCGACCAACCAGUUCAGGGGCAGAACCAGGUUCUGAUCUAAGCCUCUGCCCUCUGUUUGCUCUCCUUCCAGGUAGUUAGGGACCCCGUCACUGUCUCCGCAGCCUCCGGAAGACAGAGGAAGCCGGAGCACAGCCCAUCCUGAGCCCCCAGGAGGGAGAAGCAGGUUGAGGGCGAGGGAAGGGGGGGCGGGGAGAAGUGCAUCCCUGACAUCAGGCUGCUGGGAAAUGAGUCCAGUGUUCCUGAGACCUGAAUGAUUUGGGAUUAAGCUUCCAGAUCUGGCACCACAGAUGCGAUAUGAAUCCGUUGCGGCCCCACCCCCAGCCCAUGGCAGGGAACAGAUGGACAGACCCCUCCCUGGGGUCUAAGUAGGGCACUGCUGAGGCUGCUGGGAGGCAGCAGGGGAGCCAAUCAGCCCUGGGGGGCAGAGCAGGGGCAGAUCCAGCUCCACCUCCCCUUCCUGGGCCCCCCACCCUCCAAGACAGUAGAAUCUGAGGGUCAGCUCUCUGCUGCCAACUGUGGGUGGUGCUGCCACACAAGGCAGAGACUCCGGACCCUGGAGCAGCACCGGUCAUUCAGGCACAAGUCAGGCCAUCCUUCCUAAGUCCCAAGUCCAUAGCCUGAGACCACUGGAAGCAACAAGGGACACAAACUUCCUCCUCGGGGCUCCAGAGCAAGGCAUGGGCAGCGUGGUGCUCAGAGCAUCAAGGUCCCGAGCAGGACCAGCCUUGUGUGGCCCUCCCGUCACCAUGAGCACAGCGGGAUGGGGCCAUGGGAGGCCAGACGGAUGCAGAAACAGAAAGAAGGCAACUGUCAGAGCUGGAGGGACCUGGGGACUCCUGAGUCCUCUUCCUGUUCAAGAAGCAAAGGCUGAGGCUCAGCAAGGAGAGGGGACAGGUGCACAGGGAACGGGUGACAGAGCCAGGGGCCCCUUCCACAUCAACGCAAACCACUGAGCUUAACUUGUAACAGCAAAACACAGGAACAGUCCAAAUAUCCACCCGCAGGCAAAGGGAUUAACCGACUGGGUGUUUCCAUGCUCAAGACUAGCGACCACUCAGCAACACGACUGGAUGAACCAAUGAUCCAUGCAAGGCGGCUAAGUCAUAAAGGACCAUGUCAAGUGACCAAAGUCAGACAAAGAGGAAGCAAUGUAGGAUUCUGUUCCUACCAAGCUCUGGAAAGAGUAAAGUAAUCUGGAGGGACAGGCAGUAGAUUGACAGCGACAGCGUCAGAAGGGGCAUUAAGAAGGGGUAUGGGAACGAUUUGGGGUCAUGGGUAUAUUCGCUGUCUUGGCUGUGCUGAUGGUUUUGCGGGCAAGUACACACACUGAGGAAGGGAGGAGGCGGACGCCCGGGAGAGCUGGCCGGGAGGGGAUGGACUUGGAGCAGAGCUGGCCUUGACAGAGCCGGCAUGGAAGGCUGGGAUGAUGCAAACGGCAACAGCCCUGCAGAGGCAGGCGUUUGAAUGAAGGCUCAGACAAAGCAGUGUUCUCAGAAGGAUCCAGAACAAUGGGAAGAGCCCAGGGCUGCCAGGGGGAUGAGGAAAGACGACCCAUGUACAUCUGCUCCAUGCACAUAUGUCUCUGGAGUCUCACAGUACCUACACUUAAGAGUAACCAUCAAAAGAAGGUUAUGGGAGAGAGGAACUAUCAAAAGAAGCAUGGGAGAGAGGAAGGAGGAGGGGAGAGAAGAGGAGCAUGGAAGAGACCCUGGAUGCAUCCACCAAGCUGGGCUCUGUGGAUAUAAGGGAGCCAGAGCAAAGGAAUGGUGCAUGUAACUCAGAGCUUCCAGGAAAUUUUCCUGGCAGCAAAGUGCAGGGACCUCCACUCUGUCCGGAUCAUGCACCUGCUCUCUGGAAGGGCUGGUGCAUCUCCUUACCAGCCUGGAUGGCGGAGUGGCAGGGAGCACACAGCAGGCCCUUCUCCAAGAGUUGGGAGGGCCUGGGAUGCCCCAGCUUCUGCUCCCAGAGCAGAGAACAAGCUACUCCCCUCGCCUCCCAGGGAGGCCAACGAGGGCCUGUGGCACAGCCAGGAAGGGCAAAGAUUUCCAAAGCUCUGUGAUGGAAUCUCUCCCUGGUUCUCCCUGUCCUCACGUUUCACAGGCACCUCCAACCCACAGCUCAUAUCUUCUGGAAGCGGCAGUAGCCCCAGCAGCCCUGCCUCCAGGGCAGGAAGGAGGAAUACAGGCCUGCAGGAGUGUGCUGGGCCCAGGAGGGGCAAGUACAACAUGUCUACUUGGCUCCUCCACCACCUAACUGCUCAGAAGACCCAAGCCCCUCCCCCAGAGCCAGCUCUGGGCAAACGAAUAGGCUCCCUGGAUGAUGGGCCCGCUGUCUGCCUGGACCAGACCGCUGUCAGACUGUCCCCAAUUCAACCAUCAAAAAUGAACAGCCCCUGCCUUCACUCCAUCCCUCUCUGGGGCGUGAAAAUGAAGCUUGUAAUCUACCAUACCCGGCACAGCACUUUACAGUCGACCCCUUCAUCUCCUUCCUGAUCCUGUGAAGCAGCUAAAAUCAUGCCCACCCUCCAGAUAAGGGUUUCACACUUCAGCUGGGCCUGUGGACCUGUCUACGGUCCCACAGCUAACGUUUAGGGGGAGGGAACUUAAAGCUUCCAAGCCAGCUUGCCAAAGGGCCAGAAGCAUGAGGACCAGACAGAUUCUCACUGGGAAGCUUGCGGCCAGCACCGGGCAGAACACAUCACUGCACAAGACCCGGUCAGAGUUAGAAGGAACCCCACAGGCAUCCCAGCCGGCUUCGUCUCACCCUUCAGGCAACUGAAGCCUGAGAAGGACCAAGGAGGCGGUCAUGGGAAAUUGUACUUUAAGCUCCUGGGAACUGAGAGACUAAGAAUCUAGGAGCGGCCCCGACCGGCUGGCCCUGGGGGUCCUUGAUGGUGGCAGAGGGUGCACAGGCAGAGUUACAAGGGGUGCAGGCUCAGCCCAUCCCCCAUUCCCAUAGCACAGGCAGACACGCUGAGCCUGUCCCCCAGAAGCCAAGGCCACGUUAAAAUUCUCCAGGACAGGGAAGAGAGCAGCCACCAGGUGCUGGCACGAUGGGAGGCAGGCGUCACCCUCCCCAUUUUGCAAAGAAGCCAAGGCUCCGAAGGUUGAACAACCUCCGCAACGGCACAAGUAGGAAGGAGCAGAGUCGGGACGAAAAAACGCAGCAUUCGUCCCACCACCCUCACUCCCCUCAGGCUGGGCUACUGGGCUGCCGGGGGACUUGCCCGCAGCUCAUCGGCUCAGCCUCCAGCCCUGAGAUGAGGUCUCUGGGGUCCUUCCGCUGGGCUUCUCCAUCUGGCAUCAUUCAGGGCUGACUCCUGGCCCCUCACCCAAGAUUGCCCUCAUCAGACAGUGCAGAGGCAGUCAGGCCUGCCAGGAGCAAUUCACCAGAUCCACAACUUGAGAAUCUCCAGGGAACCAACCUGGGAAUCUGCAUUUUAACAGGAGCCUUCCGGAAGCACAAUUUUGGAGAAAGAACGUGCGAAAGACUGGCAUCUGCUGCUUUCAGCAAAGAUCCUCCCCAGGUCUCUCCAGGUUGGAGAAAGGAAAACCUAUUUGCAGUCUCUUCUCUCAGGGCUAAAGCGAGCUGGAUGCCCCUCCCCCGCCUCCCACCACCCCCGGGGGGGGCGGGAAUCAAAAAGGAGCGCCUUCUGGGAGGCACAACUUCCGGGGGUGAAAACCCUUCCCCUUGGCGGGGAGGGGAAGAUGCCCCUUCCUCCAGGCACCUCCACGGCUCAGGUGGGGGCGGAGCCAGGAGGCGCCGAGGCCCCGCCCACGAGGUCACCUCCAGCUCCGGAUUACGUGCCCUGCCUGCCCCCUCCCGGCUAAAACCCAUCUUCUGCUGUCAAGAAAAAGGUCGUCUGCCUGGAGUCGCUGAAAAUUACACGUUAACAGCCUUACAGAUUUCCAGCAGUUUCAAAUGCUGGCUUUGGCCAAAAACUUCUUUAAAAGGCCAUCCUCCCUUCUUAUUCCAUAGCGUUUACAUUUUAUAACAUUUAAACAGAACCGCUUUCAAACACAGAUAGGCAGUACUUUCCUGACAUGUCCCCAUAAAAAGUAAAAUCUGGGAAGCGUCUGCGGUGGACGGCUGGGGAAUGCCUUCUGUGCCCAGCAGUGAUUAGCUCCAUCUGCAAAAUAGUUCCCAACGCUGCUGCCUCAAACUAGGAGCUCCUUCCUCCGAGAAGCCCUCCUGCCUCCCGUCUGGGCUCCGUGCCAUGGAUAUCUGUCCACAGAAGACGUCCUUUGUUGAAGUUGCGGUUAUGGCUCAGUGGAAACGCAUCUGACUAGGAACCAUGAGGUUGUGGGUUUGAUCCUUGGCCUCGCUCAGUGGGUCAAGGAUCCGGUGUUGCCAGGAGCUGUGGUGUAGGUCGCAGAUGCGGCUCAGAUCCAGUGUGGCUGUGGUGGCUGUGGGUCGGCCAGCAGCUAUAGCUCCAGUUAGACUCCUAGCCUGGGAGCCUCCAUAUACCCUGGGCAUAUAUCCAGACAAAACUAAAAAGACCAAAAAAAAAAAAAAGAUGUCCUUUGUAGACGCGGCUGAGUCUCCACACUUCUUUGAAAAAACCUUUUAAAGUAUAGUUGAUUUCCAAUGUUGUGCCAACUUCUGCUGCACAGCGAAGUGACUCAGUCAUACAUAUAUAUCCAUUCCCUUUCUUACAUUAUCCUCCAUCACGGUCUAUCCUGAGAGACUGGAUAUAGUCCCCUGAGCUGUACGGUAGGACCUAGCAGCUUCUCCUUUCGAAAUGUAACAGUUUGCAUCUACUAACCCCAAACGCGCAGCCCAUCCCACUCUCUCCUUCCUCCCUCUUGGCAACCACAAGCCUGUUUUCCAUGUCUGUGAGUCUGUUUCUGUUUUGUAGAUAGGUUCAUUUGUGUCAUAGUUUAGAUUCCACAUGGAAAUGAUAUCAUAUGGUAUUUGUCUUUCUGACUGACUUCACUUAGCAUGAUCAUCUCUAGUUGCCUCCCUGUUGCUGCAUUAUUUCAUUCUUUUUUAUGCCUGCGUAGUAGUCCAUUGUGUAUAUAUGUACCGCAUAUUCUUAAUCCAUUCAUCUGUUGCAGAGCAUUUGGCAAUGCCACUCCUGGGCAUACAUCCAGACAAAACUAUAAUUCAAAAGUUACCUGCACCCCUGUGUUCAUAGCAGCAGUAUUCACAGUAGCCGAGAGUCUCCACUCUUUAUAUGCGUGACAGCUACAUUUCCUGAGCUCUUCUGAUGUGUCAAGGGCAGAGACUACUAAGAGAACUACAGAUGAUAGUUUAUUUGCCAGAACAACCCUACAGGUAGCUAUGACUAUUAUACCCAUUUUGCAGAUGGGAAACAGAGGCUCAGACAGGUCAACAGAUCUACUCACUAUUGAGCCCAUGCUCAUGUUCUUCAAGGCCCUCAGACCCAGACAGUGAACCCCUAAACCAACAGGGAGUCUGGAACCUCCCUCCAGGCCUGGGGUCCUGCCAACCUCUUAAGCAGGCCCACCUGCCAUCAUGGUUGAGGAUGCGUGACUGCAUCCUCCACCAUUUGACCCCAAGAGAAGCAGAGCCCUCAGCCCCUCUUUUGGUUAUUCUGCAUCUCUCUGAAUCACUCACCUUACAAAACCCAAGAUACUCCUGGGAGUUGCUUUUUGAUGUUAAAAUUUCCUCAGGUGACUCACAAUCAUUUUUAAAAGCUGAGCGGGCCCCAGGCCCAGCAUCCCUCCUUUAGCAGCAGGGGCAGCACGCCAUCUAGUGGCUGUGUGGUGAACCUCGCAUUGGCCAACAUGCAGGAGCAGAGCCUGGCAUCCGAGAGGCCCUUGGGUUGUUGUCAGGUGGUCAAACUGAAGUUCAGAGAGGGAGAGUGACCAGUCUGCAGACACACAGCAAGUUAGCAUUCAGUCUCCAGGACCAUAACCCAGCUCUUGAGCAGUAAGACCGUGCUUCCCCAACUUCCCUAGUGUUCCAAGGAAGCAGUGUGCUGGGUGGGAGCACAUCUCAGUUCUUGCAGUUAUGAGAGUGAAGUGUCCUGUUCACAGGGACGCCAUCUUCCUGGUACUGCAUCCUUUAUUCUCUUUAUCAUUUGAACAGGUAAAGGCACACAUGGAAUCAAAUCCGAAAGGUUGCAAAAGGGUACAUGGUGAAAACUGAGUUUUUACAGCCCUCUGCCACCAAUUCCAUUCCAGAGCUAUCAGUUUCUACUUGUCUGUCCAGAUUGUCUGUAAUUUACAAAGAUAUAUAUUUUGUUACUUUUCUACACAAAUAGUAGCAUUUCCUACGCAAGGCUCCAAACAAGACACCUUGAAGGUCGUUGCACCUCCGUAUAUGAAGAGCAUCGUUAUCCCUUUAAAGCCACACUGUAUCCCCUGUGGGUAGUAUAUGAAGGUACCAUUUAACCACUUUACUGUUGAUGGACAUUUAGGUGGUUGCCAAUCCGCUGCUUUAACAAAUAUAUAUGGGAAAUCAACUUGAGAAUAAAUUCCUGGAUGAGGAA